ACCGGGUUAAUGUCAACAGGCAUUUCGGACUAAUGAGUGCGAUGCUCUGAACAAGGAAAGUGCAUCAAAAUUCACUCUAUAAGGAAAUAUCCGCAUAACCCCUAGUGAUGGUUUAACAUGUAAAACUGGUUGUAUAUUAGAAACAAAUUUUGAAUUGUCCCAUCAAUUAACAACGAUGAAUUAAAGAGACCAUGUUUCGCUGUAAACCAGGCUCGCAGUUAGCAUUUCCACCCUUGACUCAGGAAAAAAGUUCCGGUUUUAUGCUCUUUUCCCCCUUUUUCUUUUUUCGACGACCAUAUUUAAUUACCCCUUUCUUCAGCAUAUCACUCCCUGCAGCAGGAUUCGUAGAAAAGAAAACUAUAGAUCACAAUUUGUGGACUUGGGGAUGAAGGUCUCACCAAAAACUGCUGUGAUAACAGAUCUCAGUGAACUUUGCAUCCAGGAUUUAGGGUCGCAACUCAGGCUAAUUGAUGAAUAUGACAAAAGCCUUGCUGAAGUCAUCUGUUGGUUUGAACAAAGACUACAUGGAGUGUGCAAUAAGAUUGAGCAGCUAAAAACUUAAUACAGUGGUUUCUCAGCAAAUGCACAGUGCAGUCAUAUAUAGCUAACUUUUCAAAACAUUUAUGGAAUUUAUGGGGAAACUGACAACAUAUUGCAACCCCUAUGGACUCCCAAAUACUACACUUUCAUUCACAGCACAUAAAUUCUGUGAAGCUGUAUGGGUUUUUAAAUUUUUUUUAUUUAUACCUUAAGCAAGACUACACGCUUGGCUGGACAAAACUCCCUCUGGACUCCAUCCCAGGAUUUUACAAGAACAAUCUUUCCAAACUGGUCAAUUGCAAAUUACUUGCACAAGAAAACAACACUGCAAUAGCACUGAGGGGUUCUGGGACAGAGAUGAGCAAAUGUUUCCUAAUAGUGGACAGAGAGCAUAAUGAUACUUGUCCAUCCCAACCAGGUCCAUUGAUGUUGAAAGAUUAAUUUCUUUAUGGAGACAAGUUUACACCAAGCGUCUUCAAGUAGUGACAGAGGACACUGUUAAAAAAUGACCACAUAGUUUAAACCAUACAUCGUAGUUUAAUUUCAGUUCAUCUGUUAUCUCUGUAAAACUGUUUUAAUCUUCAUUUUUAUUAGCCUACCCUUGCUGCAAACCAUAGAAUUUUUAUGAAUAGCUCUCUGUGAUUGGAAUUAUAUAAUUGCAAGUUGUAAUGCCAGCAUGCUACUUCCCGCAGAGGAAAAAUGAAACAAUAUAACACAGCACUAUCAAAACAUUGCUGUCAAUUAUCAUUAAGUAACAGAUGAGUUAUCAACAUGGAUGAUUGGGGAGGUGGAGUGUGAUAACUGUCCAACAUGUGUGAUCAAAGAAGGCUCUACUGACCUCAUGCUAAGGCAUGACUGAAAUGUAUGUAAGAAAUCUGUUUAGGAAAACUGCUAACCCUAACUAUACAAUACCAAUGGGAUUUCAGGAAAUUGGAUAUGAAGAUAAUGUAUUUCGACGUCAAAUGUUGAAGCACAUAAUUAUGUUAUAUGGGUAAUAAAUGCAAAUGAAAAAGGAAAAAAGAUAAUUACUGAUCUAUUGUAAAUUGCUCAAUUAAAAGAAAAGCCCGAGAUCUACUGCCUCCCAGUGCCAGUAACAUCAGCAGUCUCAUUUUCAGGUGCUGCUCUGGGAUAUUGUUCCCAUGACAACACCGAGUAGCUGAAUACCCCACCUUGUUCUUCUGCUUUUAUGAAGAUGCAUUACUAAAUCUCUGUAUGUGCCUAAUUAAUACUGGGAGAAAACAAUGUACCAAUGUAAGUGUGGACAGCUAAAGUUUUUGUGUAUUUUGAACAUAAUUAACCUUGUUUUUUCUAACUUUGGCAAAUAUCCUCUGCAAAACACCACAUAAGAAAGGGAAAGAAAGGGACGGUCGAGGAAACGACUCAUUAGAUAGCACAGUUUUCAUGCAUUAAGUACAGAGGUCCAGCUAUGAAUUUUGAACUGGUGUAUGUGUGCUCUUGAUUUCUGUCUUGGCCGUGCCCACAAUCCUGAAAAGUAGACAGCAAAAAAUUCCCAUGACUUCAGCCAACUCAGGGUACUUAGAGGGCUAUCUGAUGUUCUCAAGUAAUGACGAUACCUCCUAGGGAUGAUGCGCUGAGAGGAAGCCAGUGCUGUCUUUGCUCAGGAAACAUCUGGCUGAUGCUCCAGUUCUUAAACAGCUGUGGUGAAGAGGAGCAGGAAAAGUGAACCUGCCGCUGGUUCAGAGAUCUCACGUUUGAUGUGUGCUACGGGGGACCCAUGUUCAACAACCCGGCCAGCCACUCGUCACACCUCCAGGCUGAAUCACGGACACUCCGGACCUGUCUCCUGGCAACAGAGAUCUUUGGAAUUAUACCAUUAUGUAGACAACUUGACAUGAAUUAGGCGAUAUAUAUAUAACUGUUGUAUUAUGAUUAAGUAAGCAAACAUUUUGUCAUAUGAAAGCAAGAUGAUUGCUUUGCAGUGAAAAACACAGGGAAGCCAUUAAUGUAUCUGGGGAAAUUGGUUGUAAUGGCUCAAAUUUAACACUAAUUGAUGUGAUCACCAUGUUGCUGCAUUUGCAACUAAAAGCUAUUUCUGCAUCUACUUUUUAUGAAAGCCCUGUUUCAUUUGUAAGCUUAAUUUGUAAUUGUUAUUUUUGUCACAUGUGGCUGUUUAGGGAAAUGCACGAGCAGGAGCCAUUUAACAUCAGCGCCAUUCCUUUCAGUGACAUUGAUUCAAAGCAACAGUCAUGUUUGGUUGUCAUGCAAUCGGUCAGCAAAAUAUGAUUAAACUUGAGAUAUCCAUUUAUCAAAAUUGAAAACAUUGAGGCUGGAACUGGAACCUCCCAUUUUAUUUUUCUGCCUUGAGUAAUCACGUUGAAACUUGGCACCAUUGUUUGGAACAGAGAACUGCUUUAAUUAAUCAAAUAAGUGCUGAGUGACCUGCACACCAUGUGGCUUUCCAGGACUAGGGUCAGAAACCCCUGAUCGCAGGAUUACUGUGCCAAGCUCAGGUCUCUGCUUAUUACUGCCUGACCUGCCCAGCUGUUCGGUGCAUUGACAACCCUUGGUGUGAGAAACAGUACUUACUGGUAACAGUGCAAGUUCCAUCUUCUACUCAUUUAAACUUCUGCCCUCUUGUUCUUCUGACUGAACUCAACCUGAAAUACCCUGUUGGCCUUUCUGACUACUGUGGCACAAUGUGUAGUCCUGAUAACGAUAGCGAUCAGGAACUGAUAGUCAGCUUUUGCACUAUAUAACUUGUAAGGUGUAAGGAUCUUCGCAUCUUUGCUUUCCUACCAUGUAAAUUUCUGAUCUUAUCCCUAUCUGUAACCUACUCUGCUUUCCUCCUGUCUGAAUAAAAGGGAAAAAUACAUAAUGAGGGCAGACUUUCUGUAUUUCUUUUAAUCAUGUCGCUGUGCAUUU